rnacentral:lncRNA from 1 species
UACCCCCAGAGAAACCCUGAGCUUCAAAUCUGUGAGUAUAAGGGAAACUCGUUUUUCCUAUAAAUGUAUUUGCUUUCUCACCAUUGAUUCGUGGUUUCAAAAACACGACUAGAUCCGAUCGAUGUUUCUCCACAAAUAACCUAAAAGCAUUAAAGAAAGGGGAGCUUCAUGCUCCUUGGCAGUUCCAUAUAAACACAGACAUAUUAAAAAUGUAAGAGAAGAGAGAAUGGGAAACAACGAAACCAAACCUCAGUCCUGUAGGUAAGGAUCCACAAAUGGUUCCUUCUCAAAAUCACUACAAAUGUUGACCUGGUCCAUAUCUUCGCUGUCACCAUUUUGGUCUUCCCUCAUUUCCUCAUCCACAGCCAGCUGAGUGGAGAUGGAUGGUAAAGCUUCCUACAUAAGAGCCCCAUCACUAGAGAGUAAGCUUGGUAUAGAGGAAAAGGGAAUCAAAUAGGUAAGCUUGGUAUAGAGGAAAAGGGAAUCAAAUAGGAGCUAAGGCUUGUGUUUGGUGGUUUGCUAUGCACAAUAGUGUUCUUAUUUUUAACCAAGGUCCCACUCUUAUGGCUUUGGUUAAGGGCCUUCUUAUUUAUGGCUUUCGUCGAGGGCCCAAUACUAACGACAAAAUUAUUCAUAGGGUCUAAGGAAGUCUUCAUGCAUGAGAUAUCUGCAUGAGGACUCUAAAUGGGAUUUGACAUAUGUGGGGAAUCUGCUAGCGUUGAUAUGAAGGAGCAUACCUUUUCCUAGGAUCUCCACCUUGUCCUUUUUGCUUCGAUUGUGCCCCUACCCGAUGUAUAUCUACCUUUUUAGCAUAUUUGACCCUCCCUUUUUCAUGGGUAUCCAUUAUAAGGACAGGCCUAAUACUAGCCACAAAUAGGGCAUCAACUGAUUAAUUCUCAUAAGCUAGAGUUUCCAUCUCUACAUCUUUUGUUAAGGAAUCAAAUUGAGAUCCAUUACUAGCCUGAUUGAUGCUCUCCGAAACUUUCCUAGUAUGCACUUUCCUUCCUCUACGAGUCACAACCAUCC